GACGAACGCUGGCGGCGUGCCUAACACAUGCAAGUCGAGCGGAGUUGACAAGAGGAAGUUUUCGGAUGGAAUCUUGCCAGCUUAGCGGCGGACGGGUGAGUAACGCGUGAGCGACCAACCUUGCACAGGGGGAUAACGGACCGAAAGGUUCACUAAUACCGCAUGAGACCACGGUGUUGCAUGACACAGGGGUCAAAGGAGGAAUCCGGUGCAAGACGGGCUCGCGUCCGAUUAGGUAGGUGGAGGGGUAACGGCCCACGAAGCCUAUGAUCGGUAGCCGACCUGAGAGGGUGAUCGGCCACAUUGGAACUGAGAUACGGUCCAAACUCCUACGGGAGGCAGCAGUGGGGAAUAUUGGGCAAUGGGGGAAACCCUGACCCAGCAACGCCGCGUGAAGGAAGAAGGUUUUCGGAUUGUAAACUUCUGUCCUUGGUGAAGAGAAGAAGACGGUAGCCAAGGAGGAAGCCCCGGCUAACUACGUGCCAGCCGCCGCGGUAA
rnacentral:rRNA from 1 species